GCCUAACACAUGCAAGUCAACUUGACUGAAGGAGCAAUCUGACAGUAGAGUGGCGCAAGGGUGCGUAACGCGUAAGUAACUUGCCCCAAGGUAAGGAAUAACGUCGAGAAAUCGGCGCUAAUACCUCAUAAUGCAGCGGAUCCGCAUGGAUAUGUUGUUAAAGGUUUAUCGCCCUGGGAUAGGCUUGCGUCUGAUUAGCUAGUUGGUGUGGUAACGGCACACCAAGGCUACGAUCAGUAACUGGUCUGAGAGGAUGAUCAGUCACACUGGAACUGAGACACGGUCCAGACUCCUACGGGAGGCAGCAGUGAGGAAUAUUGGGCAAUGCUCGAAAGAGUGACCCAGCAACGCCGCGUGGAGGAUGAAGGUAUUCUAUAUCGUAAACUCCUGUGAGAGCAGACGAAAGACAGAUUAUUAAUCUGGAUGACUGUAUGCUCAGAGGAAGCCCCGGCUAACUACGUG
rnacentral:rRNA from 1 species